UGGGGAAUUUUGGACAAUGGGCGAAAGCCUGAUCCAGCAAUGCCGCGUGUGUGAAGAAGGCCUUCGGGUUGUAAAGCACUUUUGUCCGGAAAGAAAUCCUUGGCUCUAAUACAGUCGGGGGAUGACGGUACCGGAAGAAUAAGCACCGGCUAACUACGUGCCAGCAGCCGCGGUAAUACGUAGGGUGCAAGCGUUAAUCGGAAUUACUGGGCGUAAAGCGUGCGCAGGCGGUUUGCUAAGACCGAUGUGAAAUCCCCGGGCUCAACCUGGGAACUGCAUUGGUGACUGGCAGGCUAGAGUAUGGCAGAGGGGGGUAGAAUUCCACGUGUAGCAGUGAAAUGCGUAGAGAUGUGGAGGAAUACCGAUGGCGAAGGCAGCCCCCUGGGCCAAUACUGACGCUCAUGCANCGAAAGCGUGGGGAGCAAACAGGAUUAGAUACNUGGUAGUCCACGCCCUAAACGAUGUCAACUAGUUGUUGGGGAUUCAUUUCCUUAGUAACGUAGCUAACGCGUGAAGUUGACCGCCUGGGGGAGUACGGUCGCAAGAUUAAAACUCAAAGAAUUGACGGGGUCAUAGCUGUUUCCU
rnacentral:rRNA from 1 species